CCACUUCACGUUGGAACACAGUUUCCCGCCCGAUCACCGAAGUUAAACAACGCCGAGCCUGGUCAUUACCUAGAGGGGUGACCGCUUGGGAAUACCAGGUGCUGUAAG